UGAACCGCCAGUUUCUCUACCGUUUUCCCGCUCGUCGAUCUACUUCUCUCAUUUUAUUCGGCGAUAUCGUAUAAUACGUGAUGAUUUAUCGGGAGUCGCGAGUGUGUGAGUUACGGGAGAAUCGAGUUUUGUAUGAAUUGUCAUUGCUAGUAGUUGAUUAAUGCGAAAUUCAGUGCGAUUAACCUUGAUUGCAAUCAUCAUGGUCGCACGAUCAUCGCCACCCACAAUACAAGAUGCAAUUUUUAUCAAUUUGAUCAAUCAAUUGAUAAUUUUCAUCAUUGCCAUCCACAAUACAAGGUAGCAUUGCGAUACACAGGUGUAAUUUACACAUUGUGUCUAUAUUAUGAAGGACUAAAAAAGGAGGAAAACUAGGAAGAGAACCAGGAGGAGAUCCCAGAGAGUCACCAGCAACAACAGGCUAACUAUAAGAUAGUGUGAUUCACCCGUUAUGUCUAUGCUAUGAAGGAUCAAGAGAGGAAGAGGAGACCCAGGACCCAGGGAGGCACCGGCGACAGCAAAGCUACUGUGAGGUAGCAUUGCAAUACACAGGUAGUGUGAUUUAUGCGUCGUGGUGUUUAUGCUAUGAAGGACCAAGAGAGAAGGAGACCCAGGACUCAGGAAGGCACCGGCGACAGCAGGGCU